AUUGAACGCUGGCGGCAGGCCUUACACAUGCAAGUCGAACGAGUGGCGGACGGGUGAGUAAUGUCUGGGAAACUGCCUGAUGGAGGGGGAUAACUACUGGAAACGGUAGCUAAUACCGCAUACCAUCAGAUGUGCCCAGAUGGGAUUAGCUAGUAGGUGAGGUAACGGCGCACCUAGGCGACGAUCCCUAGCUGGUCUGAGAGGAUGACCAGGCACACGGGAACUGCGACACGGUCCAGACUCCUACGGGAGGCAGCAGUGGGGAAUAUUGGACAAUGGGCGCAAGCCUGAUGCAGCCAGGCCGCGUGUAUGAAGAAGGCCUUCGGGUUGUAAAGUACUUUCGGCGGGGAGGCGUUACCCGCAGAAGAAGCACCGGCGAACUCCGUGCCAGCAGCCGCGGUAAUUC
rnacentral:rRNA from 1 species